GCCUAACACAUGCAAGUCGAACGAGGUCCAUGAGAGCUUGCUCUCGGACGACCUAGUGGCGAACGGGUGAGUAACACGUGAGAAACCUGCCUCGGAGUGGGGAAUAACUCGGGGAAACUCGAGCUAAUACCGCAUACCUUCAGAUGAUCGCAUGGUCGACUGAAGAAAGAAUUUCGCUCUGAGAGGGUCUCGCGGCCUAUCAGCUAGUUGGUGGGGUAACGGCCUACCAAGGCAACGACGGGUAGCUGGAUUGAGAGAUCGAUCAGCCACACUGGGACUGAGACACGGCCCAGACUCCUACGGGAGGCAGCAGUGGGGAAUCUUGGACAAUGGGCGCAAGCCUGAUCCAGCCAUGCCGCGUGAGUGAAGAAGGCCUUAGGGUUGUAAAGCUCUUUUACCAGGGACGAUAAUGACGGUACCUGGAGAAUAAGCCCCGGCAAACUUCGUGCCAGCCGCCGCGGUAACAC
rnacentral:rRNA from 1 species